rnacentral:rRNA from 1 species
GACCGUGCGAAGGUAGCAUAAUCAUUAGUUUUUUAAUUGAAGGCUAGAAUGAAUGGUUGGACAAGAAAUAAUCUGUCUUAAAUUAAUAUAUUGAAUUUAACUUUUAAGUGAAAAGGCUUAAAUAAUCUGAAGGGACGAUAAGACCCUAUAAAACUUUAUAUUGAAAAGUGAUAGGUAUAUUUUGUUUAAAGAAUUAUUACUUUAAAGUAUUUGGUUGGGGUGACAAAAAUAGAAGAUAAAGUAACUGUUUUUUUUAUAUACAAUAAUGUUUGGGUUAGUGAUCCUAAAAUGGAUUAAAGAUUAAGUUACUUUAGGGAUAACAGCGUAAUUUUCUUUAAGAGUUCUUAUCGAUAAGAAAGUUUGCGACCUCGAUGUUGAAUUAAAGGUUCUUUAUGGAGUAGAGACUAUAAAAGAAGGUCUGUUCGACCUUUAAAACUUUACAUGAUUUGAGUUCAGACCGGUGUGAGCCAGGUUGGUUUCUAUC